rnacentral:snRNA from 1 species
AUCGCUUCUCGGCCUUUUGGCUAAGAUCAAGUGUAGUAUCUGUUCUUAUCAGUUUAUAUUCGAUACGUCCUCUAUCCGAGGAGGACAAUAUAUUAAAUGGAUUUUGGAGCAGGGAGAUGGAAUAGAGCUUGCUCCGUCCACUCCACGCAUCGACCUGGUAUUGCAGUACCUCCAGGAACGGUGCACCCCCU